CCACAUCACAAAUCUAGAGUAGAUUAAUUCUGGCUUUUGGUUUGGAAUGGGUGGUUUGUGGGAAUUGCUACUAUUGACUAUAUUUAUUCAUCAUGGGGAGGGAUUUCAAGAAGAGAAAUGUCAGCCUGUGGCGAUAGGCUGUUUUGGCUCUAUUUGGGUGUUGUGGUAGGGACAGAAUAGCAAAAGCCUUCAUAAUAGUAAGGUAGAGUUGGCUUCACUGGUGACAUAAUAGAAUAUCAUGCCAGGAGAUGUUCUUGGAGAGACAUUUCUCAAGGCUUUGGUGUUUUGUUUUCUGAUUUGGUUGCAGGGAAUGGAGAGAUGAUCCGUUUGUGGAGACAAAAAGAUUGGAGAUCUUUUAUCUGUGCCCUAUGUCAUGCUUUUUUGGGUUUUCUGUAAAGUUCCUGUUUCCUAUUAAAUAGAGAAAAACUGGGUUGGGUUAACUAGGAGGAAAGCAUCUUUAGUUUCCAAUAAGUGGAGAUGCCAAUAAAUCGAAAGGGUUUUUCUAGAAGAUCAGAAGUGCAGGAUUUGAAAUAGUGAAGGAUUUUUGUGACUGAACUCAAGCAAACAGGGUUUGGUUCUUGUUGAGUUCUAUCUUAUUCCACGGGUCGUUGACAUGCCCUGAUAUUAGCCAUGUUUAUCUUUACCACCACAAUUUAUAGUUGAACAAAUGAAGCAUUAUAUUCAUACAUAGAAGCUGGUUCAAAAACAAUUAUGCCCUGAUGGAUGUUUAUUUAUCUUAAUCAUUGAUUUCAUUUUGUGACUAAUGCAUCCCUGUUCACUUUUUGGUUGAUAUUU
rnacentral:lncRNA from 1 species